rnacentral:rRNA from 1 species
UGAGGAAUAUUGGACAAUGGUCGGAAGACUGAUCCAGCCAUGCCGCGUGCAGGAUGAAGGUCCUAUGGAUUGUAAACUGCUUUUGUAAGGGAAGAAUAAGGGGUACGUGUACUUUGAUGACGGUACCUUACGAAUAAGCAUCGGCUAACUCCGUGCCAGCAGCCGCGGUAAUACGGAGGAUGCGAGCGUUAUCCGGAAUCAUUGGGUUUAAAGGGUCCGUAGGCGGGCUGAUAAGUCAGAGGUGAAAUCGUUCAGCUCAACUGAGCAACUGCCUUUGAAACUGUCAGUCUUGAAUGAUUGUGAAGUAGUUGGAAUGUGUAGUGUAGCGGUGAAAUGCUUAGAUAUUACACAGAACACCGAUAGCGAAGGCAUAUUACUAACAAUUUAUUGACGCUGAUGGACGAAAGCGUGGGGAGCGAACAGGAUUAGAUACCCUGGUAGUCCACGCUGUAAACGAUGGAUACUAGCUGUUUGGAGUAAUCUGAGUGGCUAAGCGAAAGUGAUAAGUAUCCCACCUGGGGAGUACGCACGCAAGUGU